UUAAGUUCAGCGGGUAUCCCUACCUGAUCCGAGGUCAACCAUAGAAAAUUGGGGGUUAAUGGCAAGCAUCCACCGGGACUCUAUAGCGAGAAGAAUUACUACGCUUAGAGCCAGACGGCACCGCCACUGAUUUUAGGGCCCGCCGGGGCGGCGGGGCCCAACACCAAGCAGAGCUUGAGGGUUGUAAUGACGCUCGAACA
rnacentral:misc_RNA from 1 species